rnacentral:rRNA from 1 species
CUCCUUUGACGUUAGCGGCGGACGGGUGAGUAACACGUGGGUAACCUACCUAUAAGACUGGGAUAACUUCGGGAAACCGGAGCUAAUACCGGAUAAUAUUUCGAACCGCAUGGUUCGAUAGUGAAAGGUGGUUUUGCUAUCACUUAUAGAUGGACCCGCGCCGUAUUAGCUAGUUGGUAAGGUAACGGCUUACCAAGGCGACGAUACGUAGCCGACCUGAGAGGGUGAUCGGCCACAAUGGAACUGAGACACGGUCCAGACUCCUUACGGGAGGCAGCAGCC